AUUGCAAUCAACUAUUUCAAAGUACAUUUCCUUGGUCUUUGUGUAGGAUAAUUGCUAGUAUCCUAAGCAUGUUCUUUUGCUAUGCGAGGUCCACCAAAUUUUCUAGCAACCAUUCCAGUUACUUCACUCUCACUAAUUUUGCCAUCAACAUUCUUGCUUCUUCCAUAUUCUCACAUGAUUGUGCUGUAGCUUUUACGAUGGUAC
rnacentral:lncRNA from 1 species